rnacentral:lncRNA from 1 species
AUAUUACAUGGAUUUAUUGUGAAGGUGUAGACUAUAUUACAUGGAUUUAUUGUGAUGGUGUAGGUAGACUAUAUUACAUGGAUUUAUUGUGAUGGUGUAGACUAUAUUACAUGGAUUUAUUGUGAUGGUGUAGACUAUAUUACAUGGAUUUAUUGUGAUGGUGUAGACUAUAUUACAUGGAUUUAUUGUGAUGGUGUAGGUAGACUAUAUUACAUGGAUUUAUUCUGAUGGUGUAGGCUAUAUUACAUGGAUUUAUUGUGAUGGUGUAGGUAGACUAUAUUACAUGGAUUUAUUGUGAUGGUGUAGGUAGACUAUAUUACAUGGAUUUAUUGUGAUGGUGUAGGUAGACUAUAUUACAUGGAUUUAUUGUGAUGGUGUAGACUAUAUUACAUGGAUUUAUUGUGAUGGUGUAGGUAGACUAUAUUACAUGGAUUUAUUGUGAUGGUGUAGGUAGACUAUAUUACAUGGAUUUAUUGUGAUGGUGUAGACUAUAUUACAUGGAUUUAUUGUGAUGGUGUAGACUAUAUUACAUGGAUUUAUUGUGAUGGUGUAGACUAUAUUACAUGGAUUUAUUGUGAUGGUGUAGACUAUAUUACAUGGAUUUAUUGUGAUGGUGUAGACUAUAUUACAUGGAUUUAUUGUGAUGGUGUAGACUAUAUUACAUGGAUUUAUUGUGAUGGUGUAGGUAGACUAUAUUA